rnacentral:lncRNA from 1 species
CGUGCUGGGCCGCGUGCGCCUACGCGUGCGCACGUCUCCGUCGAGCUCGGCUGCGCCACCGCCAGCCCGCCGCCUUGCGCAUCGUGCUAUCUGCUCCGAUCUUCUUUCACACGUAUCUUUACUGUCUGGACUCCGUUUUGGUUGUUCUUGGGCUCAUUGAACUUCAUUCGUCAUCCUGGACCUCACUGUGAGCUCAAUAUGGAUCAAUCUUGAGGCAUCAAAUCUCAACAAUCUCUAUCUUGACUCGAUAUUCAACCUCCAUCUAUCUUUGAGAGUCUAUGAUCCGUCUCACCCCCACGC